CUACGGGGGGCAGCAGUGAGGAAUCUUGCGCAAUGGGGGAAACCCUGACGCAGCGACGCCGCGUGGGUGAUGAAGGCCUUCGGGUCGUAAAGCCCUGUCGAGAGGGAAGAAUUGCAUUUAGGUUAAUAGCCUAAUUGUUUGACGGUACCUCCAAAGGAAGCACCGGCUAACUCCGUGCCAGCAGCCGCGGUAAUACGGAGGGUGCAUGCGUUGUUCGGAAUCACUGGGCGUAAAGGGCGUGUAGGCGGCUGAGUAAGUCAGGUGUGAAAUCCCUCGGCUCAACCGAGGAAGUGCAUUUGAUACUGCUCAUCUUGAGUACUGGAGAGGGAGAUGGAAUUCCCGGUGUAGAGGUGAAAUUCGUAGAUAUCGGGAGGAACACCAGUGGCGAAGGCGAUCUCCUGGACAGAUACUGACGCUAAGGCGCGAAAGUGUGGGGAGCAAACAGGAUUAGAUACCCGGGUAGUC
rnacentral:rRNA from 1 species